GGGCAGUGGCCCAGGGGAAUAAGCAGGCAUCAUAGGCCUGGAGGGAAUGCCCACAGCACAUAAUAGGUUAUCUGAUUACAAAGCCACUCAGAUAUUGAUUUUCACAGCUUUUUGCUUUAUUCUUAAUUUGAAAUUCUUUUCAGUUCCCUAACAAGAGCAGGACCGGACUAAUUUAAAGCAACCGCUUGCUUUGGAGAGAAGUUCCUGUAUCUGGUAAUCUUGGGCUAGUCACGGUUGCCAGGAUCUCGUCCUUUAUUGCUUAGCUUUCUGUUCUGGUAAUCAAUAUUCUGAGUUGCUGGGGAGACAGGACAGAAGUAAGGAGCUAGAGACAAACAUUUGUUCCAGAAAUGUUCUCAUGCCCCAGUGAUUCCCAGAGGAAAAGAGAAGAGGAUUUGCAAUAGAGAGACAAAAUCAUCUCAGCUAUAACAGCAUAGACCCUGAUGUCCUGUAGCCACAUCAGACCUGGCAAGAGAAGCUUCAUCAUCUCUCCCCUCUCCGCUCACCACGUCUCCUCAGAAAUGGAAAAGAACCCGCAGGCAAAGUGGAGUUUCUGUGCAGGUUGCUGUGUUCUUGGUCAUCGCUGCAGUAGCUGAAAAAUUGCUAGAUGGGCCAGACAACCCAAAACACAGAGCUGAGAGACGUGCUUUAACAGCCUGUUCUGGACUAGCUUGCAAGGACAGACCCAGUGCCUUCAAGGAAACUACCUUGGUCCAUACCUGCAGGAUGCCCUGUCCACCCAGCUUUCAGUUCCCAUAUUCACACUAAAGCUCAAUGCAAGCUACCUCUGAGUUCAAGAGAGCUGCAGGAGAGACUCAUAGGAGACACCCUGGAAAUAUAUAUUAAGAGGAAUUUUGUUGAAAAACUCCCCACUAUCUCACUGACAAACAACUCUGGUGAGUCCAGAAGAAGCCUUUUGAAAUCACGUACUUUGGCUCCAACUUUGGACAGAGGUGUGUGGCCUAUGGAACAUAAGCAGUAGGUGAUGUCUCACUGUGUGUUUUGUAACAUGGAAAACAGUGCCUUUCUCAACGGCAGAUUCCGAUGGAAAACGUUCUCAGCCUUCUGGGAGUAAAAUUCCUCCUCAGGGCAGGAGGUGUUCUGCCUUUGGAAGGCCUGCAAAAUCAGACCUGUCACUGCAAUGGAAGGAGAUUGGGGUUGGCGCCUCCGUGGGUGUGAGUGUAAACAUCCAGCUGGGUGUGCCAACUAGAACGUGCCCUGGCUUUGUUAUUCCUAGCGCCCAGCUCCACUUCAGCUUUCUCCUGAGUGAUUAUUGACGUGCUUGCAGUUCCGGGGGACGUGGAAAUUUGUUUGUUUACACAGAUUUGGCAACAGUGAGCUGUCAGCCCUGUGAGGCACUGGAGUGCUUCCUUGAAAUCAAGAGUUGCAGCUCAGCAACUCUGCAGAGCUUGCAUUUUGGGCAGAAAAAUGAGAGCUCAAUUGGCGUAACUCAACUGUAGUCCAUGCGCUUCUUCCUGCCGAUCCUCCCAUAGCUGUCACCAGCCUGUGCUCAAAAUCACCAGUGCCAGCUCCAGCCGAGGCGAAAGGUUGUAUCAAUUCCUGUUCAGAGCUGAAAAUGCCUUGAUUUUUUAAUUUGGUCCUGGGACUUGUUCAGGAAAAACGUCAAAGCCUUCUGCUCCGUUAUUUGUGCUGAGCUAAAAAUAACGUUGGGGGCCCCACCUUCACUGAAUGCACUCCCUUGAAAACAGAGCAGUAAGCAAAUUCCCAUGUGCUCCUUCUUUCUAGAUUUCUGGCAGUCGGAAACAAAAGUCAUCAGAACCUAGAGAAACUAUCAGCCUUUGUGGUGUCCCCUUCUGUGUCGAAAUCAGUGGGUCUGUUGGAAACCAGCAAGUGGCACUCCAACACACAGAGGAAGGGCUUUAUUCUCAGCUCUGUAUCCCCAGUCCUUCCGUAAGAGCUGCCAAUGCAGUAUCAACACCAUCCAUGCCAUAAACCCAGAGCUGCCCUGUCUUUUUCUUGGAGUAGUUGUGCAAAGUCUGAAUGAGGAGUCUGGGCAGCACCUUGAGAGCUCAUCUGCCUGCUCACCGGGCAGACUUCCACACUGGCAGGCAGGGUGAUGCUCUUGCUCUCCAGAUCCUUCAUCUGUUGGCGCACAUAUCCUUGGGAACUGCAGGGUGUUUUGGUCCAAGAAGUGUAUUUGCAGUGUGUUCUCCCCAUCAGGCCUCUGUGAUGACCUGGAAGAGAUUUUCGUGGGCUGUCCAGAUAACACCAGAGACAAUUGCAGACAGGGUUUCUGUCAAUACCAACUUCCCAAGUUCUGUUAAGUGAAUAAUUUCUCUUAAAGCAGCUCCACCUCUCCUUUCUGGUGAGAUGGUCCUAUCACCCUCCAAUACUCAGUGGUUUUCAGGUUGGAUAAAUGGCCAUUUUUCCAGAAACACAUUGAACUUCUGUAGUCUGGUUUAUUAUUAUUAUUAUUCUUUUUAAGCAUUUAACAAAACCCCUGGAGAUUUGACCAAAAAUAGAAUAAGAAAAUGAAAGUUCUAUCGUCAUUUCUGUUAAGGGCAGAGAAAUGAUUUCCCAGCCUGCUCUACUCCUUUGCAGACCGAGGAAGGUUUUAUGGGCUGAAACAGUCCCUCAGGAGAUGCUUGAGAGGAAAAGGGAGACCACAACACCAUGGCCCUGUUUCCAUUGGGGAAAGCCAACAGUGGCACAGCUGGGGACAGCUGAGUGCUGCCCAUGGACGUGCUGGCUGACCCAGCCUGGGGCAGAGCUCUUAUAUCAGCAUCAGGGAACCAACACCUGGCUCCUCUCUGUGCUGACCAUUCCUGGCGGCCGACUACAUCUUGAUUUCAUAUUUUGAUUUUACAGGCCCUGCACAAUAAUCACCUCUUAAUUCACCCUCCCUCCCUCCCUCCUCUCUUCUCUUUCUGCUGAGGAACAGCAGACGGGAGAUUUCAUGUGCCAUAAAUAUUUAGAUUGUGCCUGUGUGUUUAUAACACUUGCCGAGAGUGUAACUGGAGCAGCUCACACUCAGCAGCAACACCUGAUGCUAGGAAAGUUUUCCAUCACCUCAUAUGGACCAAGUGGAGCAGAACACGCACAGGGGACCAGUAGCUGCGUUGUCCCCCUGCCACGUUGGUGAACAAUAACAACAAUAACAAUAUGAAUGUGCUUUUGUGUCCCUAAGCAGCUGCUCUAAAGGAUGCUGGAAAAAAAGCUGUGGCUGUGAUCGAAUUGAACAUUCUUGCAGCACUGCCCCGGCUAUAGAGCAUGGGGGAGACGUGUCUCCAAUAGGACCUAUAGGUUCUAGACCACACGUGUUACAGGAGUCCAUAGUGCCAGUAAUGGAUCUCAGCCUCUCCUGUAUAGCUUGAGUGUCUCAAUUAAGCAUGGCACACUUGCAUGUAGUCCAGCUGAGGUCCGGGCCCCUUUCCACAGCACCUGAGGCAGGCCAGGCAGGGCUGGCAGCUCUCCCUGUGUCAGCCUGCCCAGCAGAGCCCUGCUGGGCAUGCAGCCGUGGCCCCUCAGCCUUGCUGGCUCACAUGCAGCGGUCAGCCCUGCGCUUUCCAGAGCAUCGGCUCUCUUAAGUGUUAUGGAAUUUUUUUGUGCUUUAAUAAAUGUGUUUUUGCUAAUGUUUCUUUAGGGGAAAAUAUUUUUCUUUUGUUUCUCUGUGUAACCUCUUUAGGACUUUCUGGGGAAGUGAAGCCAACAGCACUAGCUUUGGCUCCUUUUCUUGCCUGUCCUCUGCUUUUUUUUUCUCUCUCUCUUUUUGGAGAGGAAAUAAAUCUCUGUUUUUAGUCCCUUCCCUUGCUCCUAUUCCACUUACCUGCUGGGUUUUCUCUUCUGUGGCUUUGGAAACAGCAGUAAUGACUCACUCACCAACUUAGGAGGGAUUUUCCUCUCCAGGCAGGCGAUUUGUUGCUUGUCUACUGUGUGCAUUACUCAGAGCUUUUUCCUGGAGGCUUUGAUACUUGCCGUGGUCACAGCAGCUCCAAUCGCAGCCGGUUUCAUGGCCAGGCUGCAGGCAGGAAGGAUCGAGGUCUUCAGCUGGAGCAGAUGAGCGGGGCUCUGCUGGAGGCUCCAUCACACCUCCAGUCCCUUCCGGGGCAGAACAGCAGCCACGUGCUCUGAGAUCUGGGAUCAGGAGGCCGUGGGCCAUCUCCAAACUGGUGCCAGGCAGCGCAGCACCGCAUGCCUUGCAGGAGCUCCACCUCCUACCAACAGCAGUGCGGUCAGUGGAGAGGAAAGAUGCUGAAAAUGAUCCCUGCGUUAUCCGGGUGCCAAAUCAAUGCAUCUCAUCCUGCCCUGCACUGAGAGCAGAGCAUUGCUGAGAGCAGGAUGGAGGAAGGUGAGGGAAGUCCUACAGGUGGGGAAGGAACACCAACAGGUCUGAAGGACCGCAGUGCCCCUGCAGCUCCCCAGGUCUCCACCUGCGACUGCCCCGUGCAAUGGGAAAUAUAACUACAUUCUGAGAACAACAGCCCCUUAGGAAGAAAAAACAAUAAGGGAAGAAAGCACGCCUUUGAAAAACAACAGCAAAGAAAAAAACCCUUCAACUAUAAAAUAAACUAAGGUACAAGAUGCAAUUAACAAUGCACAAACAGCAGAGCCCGGAAUGUAAAUUGUAUUUAAAUAGGGCUGUGAAGAAUGUUUCAGUCCCCUAAAUGGCUUCUCUCUCCUGCUGCCUUGAACCUCCAAUCAAGCCCUGCCUGGGAGUAAUUUGGUGCUGGAAAUUGUUGCCACACGAACAGCUGAAGGCUGGCAGGGUCACCGGCCCCCCGUGUCACACCCUGUCAUUUUAGAUUAAGAUAUGCAAAGGCGACACGGCUGCGAACUUUCCCUUUGCUGCUGUGGCUGCGUCCAUCCCCUCGACUGUAAUGAGAGGAAGGCGUAAUUGGAGUCAACUGCUUGAUUAUGAUAAUUGCUACUGUCUGGGGGAAGAAACAUUUGAGUCCCGGAGCUUGAUCCGCGCUGCACCUUUGGGGUGACUGCUGUCUGUUUGCCGGCAGAUGGGCCCUGCACAGAGCAUCCCUCGGCCCCGCGCCGGCCCCUGACCCCAACCCCACCACUUGUUGGCUCCCGAUCCCGCAGGGUCACGGGGCGUUGGGCUGCUCGCUGCCUCCCACCGGAGCGUCGCUCCUGAAGGAUUUAUCCCCUCAGAGGGAAAGGGCCUUUUGGAAAUUUAUCCCCGGCUCUUCACAGCAGCACAAGUGGGAGAUGAGGCGCCGUAUAUUUUCCGCUGGGAUAUUUAUCGCUUUCAUUGUACAUCCCAGCAACGAUCUGUGGGAAAUGCCUCCUGGGGGCUCAGCCGUCGGUCUGCCAGCAGGGACGGUCCUGGGCUCAGGGCAGAGGGAUGGCAGCGAGGAGAUGAACAUGCGGUGCUCAGAGCACCCAGCACAGCUCAGUGCCACCUCUCAGCAGCUCUGUCUGUGCAUUGGUGCCAAUAACCUGCCCAGCAGUGGCGUGAGCACAGAGGCACAUAAAGCCCACGUAUGUAAUUAAGGUGGCAAGAAGCAUUUCGUUAAUUAACGGCUAUUAUUUGUUAAUAUCAAGCCUUAAGUGCAAAGCUCAACUCUAGCUGUGAAGCAAUAAGCACAGCCUGAGCAACAACAGUAACUAGCCAACAAAGUAAUUGGGUCGUUAUUUCCACGAUAUCUUAAAAGUUUAACAAGAUUUUCUUGUUUUAAACAUUCACAUUCCAGAGCGUGGAGGGGAAAGCACUGCCUGCACGGAGGGAACGAUGUAAAAAUCCUUGGAAACAGAGCAGGGCUGCAGGUGAUGGGGUGGGUUUUCUGCUGAGCACGGAGCUGUGCCCCACUCACAGCCAGGCGUGUGGGUCGGGGCUGCGGCGUGCUGUGCUGGCUGUGCACAGGGAUAUGGGGUAGGGGAGGCAUGGGCAGCUAGCUCUUGUUCUGCUGCGUUUAGAAAGCGAGCUCAUUUGAAUGAGUAUGAUUUUCCUCUUUGUUACUAACAAGGUGCCUUUCUGCGGGGUCCUGGUGGGCUCUGUGUUAGCAGAGGGAUCAUGUUGAGCACCAGGAGGGUGUCCCAGCGCCAGGGUCAGGCAUGGAUGGAUCCCCGUGCAGUUUGAUAAGAGAGGGAGACGUUUAAUCUGCUUUCCAGGGUAGAUUAAGAGCCCCCGUAGACUGUAGCUAUGCAACAGCGUGCGUCUGACAGUGCAGAGCUCUGAGCAAAGGUGUAGCUGUUGUGAUAAAACAACUGCCUGCAUUUCAUUAACAAAACAGUAUGCCAAAGUGUCAUUAGGCGACGGAGGGCUCUAAAUAACCCUGUGACUGCCUGCCAGGCAGUGUGAGUCAGGAGGAGACCACUGCAGCUGUACCUGGGUACCCACGUACCUAAGGGCAGAGAGAAUCCAGAGGAGCCUCAUGCCCACCUGAAGGGCCAAACCUGCAGCUCAGACUGUUCUGCUCAGUGCUUAUUUCCAUGAGAAGUGAUCGGGCCAUUUUGCAAGCAGGUGUGUUAACUUCAAUCUGCAGGAGAGGAGCAUUUGCUGUGAACACAGCUCGUAUCUGUGCAGAUAGCGUUGGCAGGAGCUCUGCCUGGCUGCCCGCCUGGCUGGAGGCUUGUGUGUACCUAGGAGAUGGCUUGCCAGCUCUAACCUAUUCAUUCAAAGUCAGCCUUCAGUUGGAGCUCCCACCCUUUCCUCCAGAAGAGAUUCGUGUGCUGUUACUCAUUUACUACUAUGGCCAUUUAAUACUAUGGCAUUGCCCUGGGACACGGGACGGCCGGCUGGAGGGGCAGGCAGCCCCAGCUGCUCAGGGAGGUGCCCCCGUGGCACUCAGUGCAAUGAGUUGGGACCCUGCAGCUCAGGUCCGUGACACUAUUGACUCUAUUAAUUUAUGGGAUAACUCGUCCUUUGGGAGAGUUCUUUCCUAAUCUCCAUUAGUUAGAGAUUGCUUUAUCCUUUGCAGCAAGGAAUUUUCAUCCAUUUACUCUGUAAGCUUUCUUAAAGUUUAUCCCUGUGAUUCUGGAUAUCGUUUAUUUCAAUUUGUCUCUUUCGUUACUCUUUGUUCCAAACCCAUUGCACCCCGGCCCCAGGAAUGUCCUGGGGAGUUAAGCAGAGUCGGGUCUGCAGGUGAAUUCUCCCUCCACCUAUAAAUACAGAUUCUUUUGACAGUUUUGUUUUAUUCCACCGAAAAUUGCCAAAGUACACUCAGAGCCUGUUCUCUCACUGUAUUUUCUUUUUACAUAGGAAAUGCCGAAGGCAGCUGACAAAAACUUCUUGUAUAAUUGCAGCUUUAUUUUGCCAAAUUCUGAGCCGUCAUUUGCUGCCAGCAGUCCCACCUCUUCCAUCCAGGAGCUGGUGACGUUGAUCGAGCUGCAGAUCAGAAGCUGUUCCCUGGAUGAGGUGGGCCGCCUGCUGCCCUCACCAUGCUCUUCCCACCCCACUGCUGCCCGCCCUGAGGUCUGCUCCAGCGCAGGGAGGUCUGGCACUCUUGAACCUGAGGUCAAAAACAAGAGGGAGGAAAAGAAUGGCCUUCAGGCCAGAGGAAGAAACCAGGGCAACCAGGCUCUUAACGUGAUAAAAGGGCUUUAUCUCAAAGCACUUAAACAAAACACACAAGCCUGAGAGAAGAGGCUCUGUCAAGUAUCCGCCCGGGACAUGGGGAAAUUGCAAAUCCCUGCAGGACAGAGGGGCUCUUUCUUCAGUGUGCAGAGCCUGGAGAUGGGGCUGGGCAGAUGGACCCAGGGGUGCAGCUGCCCCACCUGCCCCAUGCUGCCCCACACCUCGCUCCCUGGCACUGUGCUCCGCAGGGAUGUGGGCACCGUGCUGAUGCUGCGUGCUGUGUCAUUGGAGUCAACACAGAGGUUCUUCCCAUCCCUGCGGCUGUAAUAUCUGGAGCGCCUCCGCAGAUGAAAGGAAAAGACACCAUCUCUCCCACUCUCGCUCGCUCCGUGAGAGCUGAUGCAGUUAAUUGGAGCUUCUUGUGAGCGCACAUUAACACAGGCAGAGCCAAGAAGACGUCUUGGCAGCGAAAUAUCAUUAUCAGCUCUUGAGCUCCAGCCAAAAUCCCCUUGCGGUCAAAACACAAUUCUUUAAACUAAACAAUUAAAGAUUUGUGCAAGUGUUGC